rnacentral:rRNA from 1 species
GACAGAGGGUGCAAACGUUGUUCGGAAUUACUGGGCGUAAAGCGCGUGUAGGCGGCCGCGUAAGUCGGAUGUGAAAGCCCUGGGCUCAACCCAGGAAGUGCACUCGAUACUGCGUGGCUUGAGUACUGGAGAGGUUGGUGGAAUUCUCGGUGUAGAGGUGAAAUUCGUAGAUAUCGAGAGGAACACCGGUGGCGAAGGCGGCCAACUGGACAGAUACUGACGCUGAGACACGAAAGCGUGGGGAGCAAACAGG